AAUAGAUACCCAGGUAGUCCACGCCGUAAACGAUGAGUGCUAAGUGUUAGGGGGGUUCCACCCCUUAGUGCUGCAGCUAACGCAUUAAGCACUCCGCCUGGGGAGUACGGUCGCAAGACUGAAACUCAAAGGAAUUGACGGGGGCCCGCACAAGCGGUGGAGCAUGUGGUUUAAUUCGAAGCAACGCGAAGAACCUUACCAGGUCUUGACAUCCCGCUGACCGCCAUGGAGACAUGGCCUUCCCUUCGGGGACAGCGGUGACAGGUGGUGCAUGGUUGUCGUCAGCUCGUGUCGUGAGAUGUUGGGUUAAGUCCCGCAACGAGCGCAACCCUUGUCCUUAGUUGCCAUCAUUCAGUUGGGCACUCUAAGGAGACUGCCGUACAAAUACGGAGGAAGGUGGGGAUGACGUCAAAUCAUCAUGCCCCUUAUGACCUGGGCUACACACGUGCUACAAUGGGUGGUACAAAGGGCGGCGAACCCGCGAGGGGAGCGAAUCCCAAAAGCCACUCUCAGUUCGGAUUGCAGG
rnacentral:rRNA from 1 species